rnacentral:rRNA from 1 species
CCCGGUCGCGGACACCAGAGAUGGAGUCCUUCAGUUCGGCUGGACCGGAGACAGGUGCUGCAUGGCUGUCGUCAGCUCGUGUCGCGAGAUGUUGGGUUAAGUCCCGCAACGAGCGCAACCCUCGCCUUUAGUUGCCAUCAUUUAGUUGGGCACUCUAAAGGGACUGCCGGUGAUAAGCCGGAGGAAGGUGGGGAUGACGUCAAGUCCUCAUGGCCCUUACGGGUUGGGCUACACACGUGCUACAAUGGCGGUGACAGUGGGCAGCUACUUCGCAAGGAGAAGCUAAUCCCAAAAAGCCGUCUCAGUUCAGAUUGCACUCUGCAACUCGGGUGCAUGAAGUUGGAAUCGCUAGUAAUCGCUAAUCAGCAGGUAGCGGUGAAUACGUUCCCGGGCCUUGUACACACCGCCCGUCACACCAUGGGAGUUGGUCUUACCUGAAGACGGUGUGCUAACCAGCAAUGGAGGCAGCCGGCCACGGUAAGGUCAGCGACUGGGGUGAAGUCGUAACAAGGUAGGCGUAGAUGA